AUCCGGGCUCUUUUUUGUAGUUCUGGUCUAUGUACAAGACAGGAAUAAUAGAGUUGGAGAAGACCCUGAGACGAGCAACUGAAACGGUGAAGGGGACGGAAAGCAAGGCGGGAUAUAAGCUAUAUAUAAAAUGAUAACUCUUCAUAUUAAAACUGGCUAAAGGUAGAGAUGGGGUUUCGUCAUGUUGCCCAGGCUGAUGUAGAACUCCUGGCCUCAAGCAAUCCACCUGCUUUGGCCUCCCAAAGUGCUGGGAUUACAGACGUGAGCCACCAUGCCCUGCUGGUUUAACGUUAUAUUGAAGUUUCUCCAACUGAAGGGCAUGUACUGUUGAGCAUGCUCAGAAGCCAAGGUUCAAGCCAUUCUUCAACUAUAGAUGCUUCAACUCAUCUCUCUUUCUUCGGAAUAUUCUCUCCCUUAUCAAUUUCACCAAUUAUACCAAGUAACCCCCUGCUUAUUCCCCUAGAACAGACAGAGCUGAUACUAGUCUGUGCCUUAUGUGAUUUAGAAAAAGACUCUUGGAAUGCAGCCCCAGACCAUGAUGUACAGAGCAUGAGUUGGGUAUUGCCCCAUUUUAUUCUCUAAUUCAGGUGCCCUUGUGCAGUGAAUAACAUGGCAGCUGUGAGACUAGUGAUGCUAAACAGGUUUAAUUUUUGGUGCAAAUUCUAAUGAAUUAAUAAUAGCUGUUUUAAAAAAACACACAGUGCUAAGAAAGACUCUGAGGCUGUUUUCAGGCUCAGUAGAUAAAUUGUACUGUAAGCUGGGAUGAUUUGCCUUGGUUGGGAGAAUGGCACCAGGUGUGACAAGAAUUUGCUAUCUAAGGACUAGAGGCAUCUCACCCGUCCUGAAGAGGUAGGAAGCCUGGGGUAGGCAGAUGUUGAGGUAGAAUGUGGGCCCAGACAAGUUUUAUAAUUUAUAGAACACAACUUUAAAAUGCCCUUGUAAUACAAGGCAACAAUCCUACUUUUCCAGGUCUCUAACAAAAAGCAUCUAGCUGAGCUAGAGUGUUUUCAUGAGGCAUCUGCUACACAAAACAAUGUCUUGCUUAAUAAAUAACACCCGUUUCUACUUGGUGUCAUUUUACUGUUUAAUCAAAACUUAUUUUCACCACUCUUAACCACAAUCUAAAGAAGGAUGCUUCAAUCUCUUCCUGAUUUAGCCUUAAACUUGGUCAUGUGUACCAUUCGACUAGGAUUGCCAGAGUCAGCCACCCUCCCAACAAAGGAUGCUCAGUUAAAUAUUGCACAGAACACACUUAUACUAAAAAUUGUUUGUUGUUUAUCUGAAAUUCAAAUUUAAUGGGGCAUAAUGUAUUUUACUUGGCAAUCCUACCUGUGAUGGACAUAUAUAUUUCCCCCCAGCUUUAUUAAGGUAUAAUUGACAAAUAAAAGUGUAAAUAUUUAUGAUAUAAAUGGAAAUAUAAACAGAUGCUCCUCGACUUUUGAUGGGGUUACAUCCUGAUAAACCUGUCAUAAGUUAAAAAUAUUGUGAGUUGAAAAUUCAUGUAAUACACCUAACUUACUGAAUAUCCUAGCUUGGCCUAGCCAACCUUAAAUGUGCCCAGAACACUUACAUCAGCAUAUUUGGGCUGAUGUAACACAAACCCUAUUUUAUCAUAAACUGUUUAAUAUCUCAUGUAAUUUAUUGAAUACUGUAUUGAAAAUGAAAGAUAAAAUGGUUGUAUGGGUACUCAAAGUACAGUUUCUAUUGUCUGUGUAUCUCUUUUGCACCAUCGUACAGUUGAAAAAUCCUGUGUCAAACAAUCAUAAGUCAGGGACCAUCUGUAUUGUUGAAAUAGCAUUUCAAGCUGGAUUCCUUUUUAGAAAAAAAAUGAUCUAAAAGGGAUAUGCCAUAAAAAUCUACAAAUGAAGUGUAAGAGGUGAUGUACACAUGAGCAAUUUCACUAUAUUCAAGAAUACUAAAAAUUGGUUGUGAUUCCCUUGACGUUUAAGGAAGUGGUUUUGAAUUUUAAAAUAGCAAUGCUUUAUGCAGUAAUAAAUAUAUACAAUUUAUUACCACUGGGAAGAGAUCCAGCCAGAAAAAUUUUGAAAGACACAUUUAGAAAGUUUUAGAUAUAUUCAUGUACAAUCAUGCAAAUCAAAUAAAAAUGAUAUAGCACCUACUGUAUUUUAGGCACUCAUGAUCCAGAGAUGAAGACAUGGUCCCGCUGCUCAGGGAGUCUACUAGCAACACACAUAUAAUUCAAAAUAACAAUAUAGUCUUGGGAGAAAAAUAGAAGUAAAUAAUAAAGUACAGUCAUAGUAGGAAAAAAUGCAUGGUUGAUUAUCUCUACUGGGGGAAAACGGGAGCAAGGGAAAACUCUAAUAGAUCACUCUUGAACUAGAAUUUUGUUGUUUCUUUUAAUUCGUAUGUAUGUAUGUAUGUAUGUAUGUAUGUACAGGGUCUCACUCUGUUGCCUAGGCUGGAGUUCAGUGACACAAUCAUGGCUCACUGCAGACUCAAACUCCUGGGCUUAAGUGAUCCUCCUGCCUCAGCCCCCUAAGUAACUGGGAUGACAGGCACCACUAUGCCCAGCUAAUUUUUUUUAUUUUUUUAGUAGAUAUGGGGGUCUCACUUUGUUGCUCAUUCUUGUCAACUCCUGGCUUUAAGUAAUCCUCCAACAGGCCAGGCAUGGUGGCUCACACCUGUAAUCCCAGCACUUUGGGAAGCCUUGGCGGUUGAGUCACCUGAGGUCAGGAGUUCGAGACUAGCCUGGCCACCAUGGUGAAAUCCGUCUCUACCAAAAAUACAAAAAUUAGCCGGUGUGGUGGUGCACGCCUGUAAUCCCAGCUACUCGGGAGGCUGAGGCUCAAGAAUUGCUUGAACCCAGGAGGCAGAGGUUGCAGUGAGCCAAGAUUCCAUCACUGGACUCCAGCCUGGGUGAUAGAGUGAGACUCAGUCUCAAAAAAAAAAAAAAAGUUAUUCUCCCACCUAGGCCUCCCAAAUUGCUGAGGUUACAAGCAUGAGCCACUGUACUGGCCUGUUGUUUCUUUUUAAAUCCAUUUUAUUUGUAGUAUAGUUUACAAACAAUAAGAUUUACCCAUUUACCCAUUUAAAGUGCAAUUUGAUGAGUUUUACCUUUUUUAGGGUUAUUGAGGUAUGAUUUGCAUAAAGUAAACUUUAGUCUUUUAAAAUGUAUGGGUCAAAGAAUUUUAACGAACUUAUUCAGUUGUAUAACCAUCAUCAUAAUAAAG
rnacentral:lncRNA from 10 species